UACGGAGGGGGCUAGCGUUGUUCGGAAUUACUGGGCGUAAAGCGCGCGUAGGCGGCUUUGUAAGUUAGAGGUGAAAGCCCGGAGCUCAACUCCGGAACUGCCUUUAAGACUGCAUCGCUAGAACGCGGAGAGGUAAGUGGAAUUCCGAGUGUAGAGGUGAAAUUCGUAGAUAUUGGAAGAACACCAGUGGCGAAGGCGGCUCACUGGCUCAUU
rnacentral:rRNA from 1 species